CUACGGAGGGUGCGAGCGUUAAUCGGAAUUACUGGGCGUAAAGCGUGCGUAGGCGGUUUGCUAAGUCAGAUGUGAAAGCCCCGGGCUUAACCUGGGAACUGCAUUUGAUACUGGCAGACUAGAGUAUGAUAGAGGGGGGUAGAAUUCCUGGUGUAGCGGUGAAAUGCGUAGAUAUCAGGAGGAAUACCAGUGGCGAAGGCGGCCCCCUGGAUCAAUACUGACGCUGAGGUACGAAAGCGUGGGGAGCGAACAGGAUUAGAAACCCUAGUAGUCC
rnacentral:rRNA from 1 species